GACGAACGCUGGCGGCGUGCUUAACACAUGCAAGUCGAACGGAAAGGCCCUGCUUUUGUGGGGUGCUCGAGUGGCGAACGGGUGAGUAACACGUGAGUAACCUGCCCUUGACUUUGGGAUAACUUCAGGAAACUGGGGCUAAUACCGGAUAGGAGCUCCUGCUGCAUGGUGGGGGUUGGAAAGUUUCGGCGGUUGGGGAUGGACUCGUGGCUUAUCAGCUUGUUGGUGGGGUAGUGGCUUACCAAGGCUUUGACGGGUAGCCGGCCUGAGAGGGUGACCGGCCACAUUGGGACUGAGAUACGGCCCAGACUCCUACGGGAGGCAGCAGUGGGGAAUAUUGCACAAUGGGCGGAAGCCUGAUGCAGCAACGCCGCGUGCGGGAUGACGGCCUUCGGGUUGUAAACCGCUUUCGCCUGUGACGAAGCGUGAGUGACGGUAAUGGGUAAAGAAGCACCGGCUAACUACGUGCCAGCAGCCGCGGUGAUACGUAGGGUGCGAGCGUUGUCCGGAUUUAUUGGGCGUAAAGGGCUCGUAGGUGGUUGAUCGCGUCGGAAGUGUAAUCUUGGGGCUUAACCCUGAGCGUGCUUUCGAUACGGGUUGACUUGAGGAAGGUAGGGGAGAAUGGAAUUCCUGGUGGAGCGGUGGAAUGCGCAGAUAUCAGGAGGAACACCAGUGGCGAAGGCGGUUCUCUGGGCCUUUCCUGACGCUGAGGAGCGAAAGCGUGGGGAGCGAACAGGCUUAGAUACCCUGGUAGUCCACGCUGUAAACGGUGGGUACUAGGUGUGGGGUCCAUUCCACGGGUUCCGUGCCGUAGCUAACGCUUUAAGUACCCCGCCUGGGGAGUACGGCCGCAAGGCUAAAACUCAAAGGAAUUGACGGGGCCCCGCACAAGCGGCGGAGCAUGCGGAUUAAUUCGAUGCAACGCGUAGAACCUUACCUGGGUUUGACAUGGAUCGGGAGUGCUCAGAGAUGGGUGUGCCUCUUUUGGGGUCGGUUCACAGGUGGUGCAUGGCUGUCGUCAGCUCGUGUCGUGAGAUGUUGGGUUAAGUCCCGCAACGAGCGCAACCCUUGUUCACUGUUGCCAGCACGUUAUGGUGGGGACUCAGUGGAGACCGCCGGGGUCAACUCGGAGGAAGGUGGGGAUGACGUCAAGUCAUCAUGCCCCUUAUGUCCAGGGCUUCACGCAUGCUACAAUGGCUGGUACAGAGAGUGGCGAGCCUGUGAGGGUGAGCGAAUCUCGGAAAGCCGGUCUCAGUUCGGAUUGGGGUCUGCAACUCGACCUCAUGAAGUCGGAGUCGCUAGUAAUCGCAGAUCAGCAACGCUACGGUGAAUACGUUCCCGGGGC
rnacentral:rRNA from 1 species